rnacentral:tRNA from 1 species
GCCCCGGUGGCGCAAUCGGUUAGCGCGCCGUACUUAUAAUGCGGAGGUUGUGAGUUCGACCCUCACUCGGGGCA